UCCGAGUUGACCCCGGCAGUAUCCCAUGAGUUCCCACCAUUACGUGCUGGCAACAUAGAACGAGGGUUGCGCUCGUUGCGGGACUUAACCCAACAUCUCACGACACGAGCUGACGACAACCAUGCACCACCUGUCUCCUCUGUCCCGAAGGCCCAGUAUAUCUCUACACUGUUCAGAGGGAUGUCAAGACCUGGUAAGGUUCUUCGCGUUGCUUCGAAUUAAACCACAUACUCCACUGCUUGUGCGGGUCCCCGUCAAUUCCUUUGAGUUUCAGUCUUGCGACCGUACUCCCCAGGCGGAAUGCUUAAUGUGUUAACUUCGGCACCAAGGGCAUCGAAGCCCCUAACACCUAGCAUUCAUCGUUUACGGCGUGGACUAC
rnacentral:misc_RNA from 1 species